rnacentral:rRNA from 1 species
CCUUACUGCUAUCGGGAUAGGACUAAGACAUGUUAGUCGAGCGUUUCUCAGCCAUGAAAGAAACGCGGCAGACGGCUCAGUAACAUGUGGCUAACCUGCCCUUAGGACGAAGAUAACCCCGGGAAACUGGGGCUAAUAUUUGAUAGGCGUGGACUCCUGGAAUGGAUCUACACUCAAAGGAUGCUUAGAUCAUGCUUUAAGCGUCGCCUAAGGAUGGGGCCGCAGCCGAUCAGGUUGUUGGCGAGGUAACGGCUCACCAAGCCUAUAACCGGUACGGGCCGCGAGAGCGGCAGCCCGGAGAUGGACACUGAGACAAGGGUCCAGGCCCUACGGGGCGCAGCAGUCGCGAAAACUCCGCAAUAUACGAAAGUGUGACGGGGCUAUCCCGAGUGCCAUCCGCUGAGGAUGGCUUUUCCCCAGUGUAUAAAGCUGGGGGAAUAAGGAGAGGGCAAGCCUGGUGUCAGCCGCCGCGGUAAUACCAGCUCUCCGAGUGGUGGGGAUGUUUAUUGGGCCUAAAGCAUUCGUAGCCUGCUUGGCAAGUCCUCCGUUAAAUCCAACGAUUCAAUCGUUGGGCUGCGGGGGAUACUGUCCAGCUAGGGGGCGGAAGAGGCCGACGGUAUCCCCGGGGUAGGGGUGAAAUCCUAUAAUCCCGGGAGGACCACCAGUGGCGAAGGCUGUCGGCUAGAACGCGCUCGACGGUGAGGGAUGAAAGCUGGGGGAGCGAACCGGAUUAGAUACCCGGGUAGUCCCAGCUGUAAACGAUGCAGGCUAGGUGUUGGCGCGGCUACGUGCCGCUCCAGUGCCGCAGGGAAGCCGUUAAGCCUGCCGCCUGGGAAGUACGGCCGCAAGGCUGAAACUUAAAGGAAUUGGCGGGGGAGCCCCAUAAGGUGUGAAGCUUGCGGUUU